rnacentral:rRNA from 1 species
GACGAACGCUGGCGGCGUGCUUAACACAUGCAAGUCGAACGGAAAGGCCCUGCUUUUGUGGGGUGCUCGAGUGGCGAACGGGUGAGUAACACGUGAGUAACCUGCCCUUGACUUUGGGAUAACUUCAGGAAACUGGGGCUAAUACCGGAUAGGAGCUCCUGCUGCAUGGUGGGGGUUGGAAAGUUUCGGCGGUUGGGGAUGGACUCGCGGCUUAUCAGCUUGUUGGUGGGGUAGUGGCUUACCAAGGCUUUGACGGGUAGCCGGCCUGAGAGGGUGACCGGCCACAUUGGGACUGAGAUACGGCCUAGACUCCUACGGGAGGCAGCAGUGGGGAGUAUUGCACAAUGGGCGGAAGCCUGAUGCAGCAACGCCGCGUGCGGGAUGACGGCCUUCGGGUUGUAAACCGCUUUCGCCUGUGACGAAGCGUGAGUGACGGUAAUGGGUAAAGAAGCACCGGCUAACUACGUG